GGUCUUGUAUUCAAUAAAUGAUAUUAAAUUGCAAAUUUAAAGGAGGGGUAACCCUAAGGCUU
rnacentral:tRNA from 1 species